UACGAAGGGGGCUAGCGUUGCUCGGAAUCACUGGGCGUAAAGCGCACGUAGGCGGAUCUUUAAGUCAGGGGUGAAAUCCCAAGGCUCAACCUUGGAACUGCCUUUGAUACUGGGGAUCUCGAGUCCGGAAGAGGUUGGUGGGACUGCGAGUGUAGAGGUGAAAUUCGUAGAUAUUCGCAAGAACACCAGUGGCGAAGGCGGCCAACUGGUCCGGUACUGACGCUGAGGUGCGAAAGCGUGGGGAGCAAACAGG
rnacentral:rRNA from 1 species